rnacentral:rRNA from 1 species
GAGUUUGAUCGUGGCUCAGGACGAACGCUGGCGGUGUGCUUCACACAUGCAAGUCGAACGGGGUAGCAAUACCCAGUGGCGGACGGGUGAGUAACACGUGGGAAUCUACCAUAAGGUGGGGAAUAACAGGCCGAAAGGUCUGCUAAUGCCGCAUAUGUAGGCAUCUCGACAGAGGUGUUUAUGAAAGGAGUAAUCCGCCUUUUGAUGAGCCCGCGUCCGAUUAGCUAGUUGGUAGGGUAAAAGCCUACCAAGGCGACGAUCGGUAGGUGGUCUGAGAGGAUGAUCACCCACAAUGGGACUGAGACACGGCCCAUACUCCUACGGGAGCAGCAGUGGGGAAUUUUGGACAAUGGGCGCAAGCCUGAUCCAGCCAU